GUUACUGAUUUCAUGGAUGGAAAAACUGCAGCUUGUUUGGUAUUAUUAGUGUUACUGAUAAGUGCUUGGAGGCCCUGUCAAGGUUCUGCUCAAACACACUUACAACCCUCGAUGUGAAUGGAUGCAUUGGCAUCAAGAGACAAAGUCGUGAAGAACUGCUUCAAUUGUUCCCACAUCUGAGAUGCUUCAAAGUGCACAGCUAAAGUUAUAUGCUUUAUGAAGUCAUAAUCAUUUCCUGCCAUCGACGUUCAUGAUGCUGUCUUGCAGAAAUGUUGCCGAUAUGCAGUUAAUUCAUUAGAGAUAGAAAAUACUCAAGAUGUUCAAUAAACAGAUGAGAUUGAUACACAAGAUAUUUGAUAAACAGAUGAGAUUGAUACAUGACAUGUGAUUUGAUAGAUGUAACCUUACUAAAUGAGCCGUCCUAUUUUGGGUAGUUAAUUAUGAGAAGAGUAUAUUUUUUAAUUAUAUGCAAGUAAAAAUUAUAAUCAAGGAAGCAGGGGAAAUUAAAAUAUGCUCCUGUGACUAUUGUGAUGUUACCACUCUACAGUUAUUUUUUAAGGUUACCACAAAGGUGGUUGAAGAUGUUAUUUUUAGUUGACAACAGAGUGAUGGUUAAUAUUGUUGUUUCUAUAUUUGAUUCUGAGAUUUUCCUAU